rnacentral:rRNA from 1 species
GCGUCAAAGGGUGAGUAGGCGGUUAUAUAUGUCAGGUGUAAAAAGCUAUGGCUUAACCAUAGUAAGCACUUGAAACUGUAUGACUUGAGUGCAGGAGAGGUAAGCGGAAUUCCUAGUGUAGCGGUGAAAUGCGUAGAUAUUAGGAGGAACACCGGUGGCGAAGGCGGCUUACUGGACUGUAACUGACGCUGAGUCACGAAAGCGUGGGUAGUAAACAGGAU